rnacentral:rRNA from 1 species
CCUACGGGCGGCUGCAGUGAGGAAUAUUGGUCAAUGGACGAGAGUCUGAACCAGCCAAGUAGCGUGAAGGAUUACUGCCCUAUGGGUUGUAAACUUCUUUUAUAAAGGAAUAAAACGAGGCACGUGUGCCUUUUUGCAUGUACUUUAUGAAUAAGGAUCGGCUAACUCCGUGCCAGCAGCCGCGGUAAUACGGAGGAUCCGAGCGUUAUCCGGAUUUAUUGGGUUUAAAGGGAGCGUAGAUGGGUUGUUAAGUCAGUUGUGAAAGUUUGCGGCUCAACCGUAAAAUUGCAAUUGAUACUGGCAGUCGUGAGUACAGUUGAGGUAGGCGGAAUUCGUGGUGUAGCGGUGAAAUGCUUAGAUAUCACGAAGAACCCCGAUUGCGAAGGCAGCUUACUAAACUGUGACUGACAUUGAUGCUCGGAAGUGUGGGUAUCAAACAGGAUUAGAUACCCCUGUAGUC